UUGAUUUAUUUGUUUGUUUUACUCAGAAGUUACAAUAAGAAACAUUAGAGUUUGGGUCCCCCGGCGGGCGCCUGAGUCCGGGCCCGAAGGCACCGGGGCGGAUCCGCCGAAGCAACGAUAGGUAUGUUCACAGGGGUUUGGGAGUUGUAAACUCGGUAAUGAUCCCUCCGCUGGUUCACCAACGGAGA
rnacentral:misc_RNA from 1 species